CCCGGCGCCUCCGCCGCUACUGACGUCAGCGCGCCGGGCGCAGCCGGGACACCCCCCCGUCUCCCCCCCCAGUGCCGGUACCGGUACCGGCAGGGCUCGGGCUCGGCUCUGCCAUGGAGGCGCUGCGGGCGGCGGGGCGCGCCGUGCUGCGGAGCCCGCGCCUCGCCCGGCACGGCCUGGGGCUCCGCCGGCGGCGCAAGCUUCCUGAGAGCUGGGCUGACAUGCAGGAGCCACUGCUUGAGGGGAUGUGCUUCACACUGAAGUAUCUAGGCAUGACACUGGUAGAAAAACCCAAAGGAGAAGACAUGGCUGCUGCUGCCAUCCGCAGGAUCGUGGCCACGGCACGGGUGGGAGCUCGCAAGUUCCAGAAGGUGAUUCUGACGGUGUCUCCGAGGGGCAUCUCGCUGCAGGAUGCAGACACAAAGGAGAUGGUUGAGAACAUCUCCAUCUACAGGAUCUCCUACUGCACAACAGACAAGCUGCAGAACAAAGUCUUCGCUUAUGUCGCCCAGAGCCAGGAGAGUGGGGCACUGGAGUGCCAUGCCUUCCUCUCGCCCAAGAAGAAGAUCGCCCAGGCUGUGACUCUGACUGUGGCCCAAGCCUUUCAGAUGGCACUGGAUCUCUGGGAAGCAGCACAUGCAGGCUCUAGGCAGGAACAGCCCCUUCACCCUUCAUGUGUCUUGGAGAGCAGUGAGCCCGGCAGACCAAGUGAGCCAGCCCCCCCGGGGAGCCCUCCCUUCAGACACCAGUUUGGGGUACAGUAUGUGCAAGCCUGGCCCAUGCCCAGGGCUGUCUCACAUCAGGGCAGGAAAAGAGUAACCCUUAUGCAGCUCCCUCCUUCUGGCCUGCCAGGACCCUGUCGAUACCUGCUCAGCCUCCCUUGCACUUGGUGGCCUGAUGUGAAAAAGGGCACUGUGCUCUGUCUGGCUCACAAGGCAGGUGCGGUUCCUCAGGUGAUCUUUGCUCCAGGAGCUCUCCUAUCAGGCUCAGCAUUGCUGCAGCUCUCAGCCCUGCUCUGCCGGCACUGUCAAAGAGGGAGCUGGGACUGGCUCUGCACACUUGGUGCCGUGGCUAGGGGUGAGACACUGUCUCUGAAGGAGAGGACCCUUUGGUUGUCGUCUUGCCAGCCUGAGCUAAGGCUCAGCCCUGUCCAUCUGCACUACACCUACUGCAUGGCCAGGGCCAGUCAGAGCAUUGCCAGUGUUGCCGGUCUCACUGUGUCCCUGCCCAGGAGCCUCUGGAUGCUUGGUCCUUGGCCUCAUGCUUCCAGUGCUGGCCCAGCCUGACAGUGCUUAGGGUCACGCUUGCUUGCAGCCUGCUCCUGGGUGCUCCUCUGCCUGGCCCUCCAGCUGCAAGAUGCACUUACCUGGCUCCUGUCUCUGGGCACAGGUGUGCUGUGUGCAGCAGCUGUCUGUGCUUGUUCCCUGCUCACAGCCCGUUUGGUGCUCUGUUGGCUGGAGGGGGUGUGAGAAUAGCCGUGCUCUGUCUCCCCUUGGUGUGGCUGCGUGCCUGAGCCCUGAAGAUUUCAGCAGCCCAGUGCUGCAGGUGCCACCUUUCCCCCUACUGCCUGUAGGCACCCUUUGUCUAUGCCAUGCCUGGUGGGUGACUGUGUCUUCUGAAGGGACCAGGGACUGCCCUGCUGCUCCAGAAUAGGCUCUGGGCUGCCCAGCCUUGCUCCUGGCAGAGACUUGCCAGGCAGUGAGGUGUCAUGGUGUUUUUUUUUUCUUUUUGGUUUGGUUUUGUUUUGUUUGUUUACCAGGAGGAGGAAGAGGAGGAGGAAGAUGAUAACAUCACUGAAACCUUAUCUGGCAUGGAGGAGCUGGGGAAGGGAUCCCACAGCCCAACAGAGUCAGCACCUCUUGUGCCCCGAGCAAGCUCUCCUACUGCACAGCUACUGUGCUACCGCCU